GAGUUUGAUCUUGGCUCAGAUUGAACGCUGGCGGCAGGCCUAACACAUGCAAGUCGAACGGUAACAGGAAGAAGCUUGCUUCUUUGCUGACGAGUGGCGGACGGGUGAGUAAUGUCUGGGAAACUGCCUGAUGGAGGGGGAUAACUACUGGAAACGGUAGCUAAUACCGCAUAACGUCGCAAGACCAAAGAGGGGGACCUUCGGGCCUCUUGCCAUCGGAUGUGCCCAGAUGGGAUUAGCUAGUAGGCGGGGUAACGGCUCACUUAGGCGACGAUCCCUAGCUGGUCUGAGAGGAUGACCAGCCACACUGGAACUGAGACACGGUCCAGACUCCUACGGGAGGCAGCAGUGGGAAUAUUGCACAAUGGGCGCAAGCCUGAUGCAGCCAUGCCGCGUGUAUGAAGAAGGCCUUCGGUAGUAAAGUACGUUUCUAGCGGGGAGGAAGGGGAGUAAAGG
rnacentral:rRNA from 1 species